UUGGGUAAAAUGGUGGGUCAAACGUCCAUUUUACGGCCGUAUUGUUGGGUCUUUAGUCGAUUGUCGGGUCCCAAAGUCGAUUAUCGGGCACUUGGACCCGACAGUUGAAGACCCACUUAAAAAAAGGCUGCUUAACAUACUCAUGACUAUUUUUAAAUUCAAAUUUGCAUGUGUAAUUUUACUCGAAUUGUCGGGCCUAUAUCUCCCAUUAGCACACAUUAGGUCAAACUCCACACAGCAGUUACUUCCCUUGGGCAUUCGCCAAUCAUUAAUGUCUUUUUCUAGAAUAAGGGAGGCCACUGCGUAUGAGAUUGACCAACCUCGGCGCAGUGAUUUACCGGGAACCAGCAUAGCAACGAACGACAACUCGGCGCCCGACAACUCUGUAAUAAAAAUUGCCAAUUUUCGCGGUUAAACUUAAAAAGAGUCCAUGUCAACUGCUGACAGUGAAGAGCCAGGCAGUCUGACCCAUGAUAGGAGGGAGCCAAGUGAAGAGCCAGCCAGUCUGACCCACGAUAGGAGGGAGCCAAGUGAAGAGCCAGCCAGUCUGACCCAUGAUUCUUGACAUGACUCAUGGUGAACUAAAAUUGCUUGCAAAGCAUCUGGGACAUGAUGUGAAGACCCACAAGGAAUAUUAUCAGUUGUCUUCCAGUACCAUGGAACUCUCAAAGGUAUAUAUUUCAUUAAUAAAAAUCUUUAAAUUUUCCAUACACAGAUAUUUGAAAAACUAAAUGCUAUAUUGUAACUAAGAGGGCUAAAAGAAAGAAUAAUUUAACAGGCAGCCACAGUAAGACCAUAUCUGAUGUUGACUUUGACUAGUAUGCUUUGCAUUAAUGGCUUUUUAUGCCCCCUGGAUCGAAUGAACGGGGGUAUAUUGUUUUUGGCUUGUCUUUCUUUGUAUGUGUGUGCGUGUCAAGGUGUGUGUGUGUGUACAAAACUUUUACCAAAACUUAAACGUUUGAUCAUAACUUUUGAAAUAUUGAAAACAGCAACUUGAUAUUUGGAUUACAUGCGUAUCUCAUGGACCUGCACAUUUUGAGUGGUGAAAGGUCAAUGUCAUCCUUCAAGGUCAAAGGUCAAAUAAAAAAAAGCGGCACAGUAGGGGCAUUGUGUUUCUUACAAACACAUCUCUUGUUGUGAGUGUGUUUUGUGCUACAACCAAUGUCCAUGCCAAGGUGGAAACUCUCCAGUUCAUGUUAUUGUUGUUUUGUCUAUUUAGCCCUCAUUGUCAUACUGUUUAGUGUUGUCUGCUAAUUUGUUGCCAUUGUUGACUAUUUUAUAUUA